rnacentral:pre_miRNA from 1 species
UCUUAUGGAUGAGCAAAUAAAAUGGCUUCUUGAGAUGGAGUCUAUGCUGGGUGAAGAUGCUGUGAA